CCCAGACUCCUACGGGAGGCAGCAGUGGGGAAUAUUGCACAAUGGGGGAAACCCUGAUGCAGCGACGCCGCGUGAGUGAAGAAGUAUUUCGGUAUGUAAAGCUCUCUCAGCAGGGAAGAUAAUGACGGUACCUGACUAAGAAGCCCCGGCUAACUACGUGCCAGCAGCCGCGGUAAUACGUAGGGGGCAAGCGUUAUCCGGAUUUACUGGGUGUAAAGGGAGCGUAGGCGGCGAUGCAAGUCAGAAGUGAAAGCCCGGGGCUCAACUCCGGGACUGCUUUUGAAACUGUGUUGCUAGAUUGCAGGAGAGGUAAGUGGAAUUCCUAGUGUAGCGGUGAAAUGCGUAGAUAUUAGGAGGAACACCAGUGGCGAAGGCGGCCAACUGGGCUUUAACUGACGCUGAGGCUCGAAAGUGUGGGGAGCAAACAGGAUUAGAUACCCCAGUAC
rnacentral:rRNA from 1 species